AACGAACGCUGGCGGCAUGCCUAACACAUGCAAGUCGAACGAGACCUUCGGGUCUAGUGGCGCACGGGUGCGUAACGCGUGGGAAUCUGCCCUUGGGUUCGGAAUAACUCAGAGAAAUUUGAGCUAAUACCGGAUGAUGACGUAAGUCCAAAGAUUUAUCGCCCAAGGAUGAGCCCGCGUAAGAUUAGCUUGUUGGUAGGGUAAUGGCCUACCAAGGCGACGAUCUUUAGCUGGUCUGAGAGGAUGAUCAGCCACACUGGGACUGAGACACGGCCCAGACUCCUACGGGAGGCAGCAGUGGGGAAUAUUGGACAAUGGGCGAAAGCCUGAUCCAGCAAUGCCGCGUGAGUGAUGAAGGCCUUAGGGUUGUAAAGCUCUUUUACCAGGGAUGAUAAUGACAGUACCUGGAGAAUAAGCUCCGGCUAACUCCGUG
rnacentral:rRNA from 1 species